rnacentral:sRNA from 2 species
CAAGAAGCGUUUUAGUAUUCCAAAACUGUUUAAAAAACGAACAUAAGACACUGGACGAGACGCCAUCCUGGGCAAUACUUAAGGCGCUGGUGCCUCAUUCCCCCAAAUGAUGCGCCCGUAAGGGUACCAACGGAUGGAGUGCCUUUGUUUUACUCCUAAUGGUCUUAACCCGGCUUCACCCCCCCAGAAUCCGG